rnacentral:rRNA from 1 species
UACGUAGGUGGCAAGCGUUAUCCGGAAUUAUUGGGCGUAAAGGGACCGCAGGCGGAUCCUUAAGUCUGAUGUGACACUCCUCGGCUUAACUGGGGAAGGCCAUUGGAAACUGGGGGACUAGAGUGUGGUAGAGGAGGGCGGAAUUCCCGGUGUAGCGGUGAAAUGCGUAGAGAUCGGGAGGAACACCGAAGGCGAAGGCAGC